CGCCUUAUACUCCUACGGGAGGCAGCAGUGGGGAAUAUUGGACAAUGGGCGAAAGCCUGAUCCAGCCAUGCCGCGUGUGUGAAGAAGGUCUUCGGAUUGUAAAGCACUUUAAGUUGGGAGGAAGGGCAUUAACCUAAUACGUUAGUGUCUUGACGUUACCGACAGAAUAAGCACCGGCUAACUCUGUGCCAGCAGCCGCGGUAAUACAGAGGGUGCAAGCGUUAAUCGGAAUUACUGGGCGUAAAGCGCGCGUAGGUGGUUUGUUAAGUUGAAUGUGAAAGCCCCGGGCUCAACCUGGGAACUGCAUCCAAAACUGGCAAACUAGAGUACGGUAGAGGGUGGUGGAAUUUCCUGUGGAGCGGUGAAAUGCGUAGAUAUAGGAAGGAACACCAGUGGCGAAGGCGACCACCUGGACUGAUACUGACACUGAGGUGCGAAAGCGUGGGGAGCAAACAGGAUUAGAAACCCGUGUAGUCCACGUACCA
rnacentral:rRNA from 1 species